GGCAUGUCAGCCAUGUUGCUCUUAAGUAGUGGUUUAACAGUGGCAUAUGUGAUAUUUCCUCUUGCCAGAUAGUGAACAAGUCUCUCUCCGGUGUCUCUAGAAUUUUCCUUAUCGUCAUAAAGGACUUAGCAUUUUUAGUAAACUUUUUCCUUUAUCAGUACAGUGUGUUAACCUCACACUUUUGUUGCUUGAUUAACUAGCAGUCCUACUGUGUGUCAGCAUCCUUAGUUCUUCUAGGUCUGUCACUUAUGACCAGGAUAGUGUCUGCACCUUAGUAGACAGGUGAAUGCUUAAAAAGUUAAGGUUCUCUCUCAAGAAACUUCUAUGUCUAAUUCUGAAAGCUUACUGGGAUAGUUUAGAACGUGCACAGACCUAAUGAAAUGUCGGUGUUUGGCUGAUUACAUGUUUUUAAUAAUUAGUAGCACAUUUUCCCCUUCAAAAAUAUGUCUGCGAAUAGUUUUCUAACAAUUUAAGUGGGUAUAAUUUUUAUUAAUGUCUUUAAUAUAAUGCUUUUAAUACCUUAGAGGUUAAAACCUCAUGAAUUGUGCUGUGUUGAAAAAUGUAAGUUACAAUAAAUCUUAAAGAAAGAACAAAACCACAUAUGGACUCGAGCUUUAUUUGCCCUGGGCUGAAAAUUAAGCGAAGUCCCACUUAAAUUCUUGCUUUAAUGCUUGAGACUUUCCUGACCAUUUUUAUGUUGGACUGUGUUUUGUUACAAUAAUUUAAGCAAAACUAUUUUAUACCUUUCCCAAAUUAAAAGUAAGAAUGAUGACCUCCAUGAUGUCUCCGUGUUUUGUUUCUGUAUCUUGCAUGAAAUGCAGUGAUGGAGUCAGUUUACCUGUUGUGUUCGGGGAGCGCUAUGUUGUCAGAGUCGGAGCAGCAUAGUACUGCAGUGCUCGCACUCACGCCCGUCUCUAGAGCUGUCGGUCUCAUCGGCACAUCAUUGUGUUUCUUUAAUGUUGAGGGAAUAAGUGGCCAUCAUUAGGAAUCGUAUGUGCCAACCCUU
rnacentral:lncRNA from 1 species